rnacentral:rRNA from 1 species
AGUGAACGCUGGCGGCAGGCCUAACACAUGCAAGUCGAGCGGCAGCGGGUCCCCGCGAGGGGAUGCCGGCGAGCGGCGGACGGGUGAGGAACACAUCGGAAUCUGCCUGGUUGUGGGGGAUAACGUAGGGAAACUUACGCUAAUACCGCAUGCGACCCUGAGUCGACGGACUGGGGUGAAAGUGAGGGACCUUCGGGCCUCACGCGACCAGAUGAGCCGAUGUCGGAUAGCUAGUUGGCGGGGUAACGGCCCGCCAAGGCGACGAUCCGUAGCUGGUCUGAGAGGAUGAUCAGCCACACUGGGACUGAGACACGGCCCAGACUCCUACGGGAGGCAGCAAGUGGGGAAUCUUGGACAAUGGGCGCAAGCCUGAUCCAGCCAUGCCGCG